UACGUAGGGUGCGAGCGUUAAUCGGAAUUACUGGGCGUAAAGCGCGUGUAGGCGGCUUUGCAAGUCGGGUGUGAAAGCCCUCGGCUCAACCGAGGAAGUGCGCCCGAAACUGCAGAGCUUGAGUACCGGAGAGGAUGGCGGAAUUCCCCAAGUAGAGGUGAAAUUCGUAGAUAUGGGGAGGAACACCGGUGGCGAAGGCGGCCAUCUGGACGGAUACUGACGCUGAGACGCGAAAGCGUGGGUAGCAAACAGG
rnacentral:rRNA from 1 species